CGGGAAGGAGCCGUGGAAGGGGGCAGGGUAGUACUGGGGGGGCAAGGUGUAAGUGGAAUAAUUGGGGGGAAAGCAACGGAAGGCGUUUAGAUAAGGCAGAUGUGACAGCCCCGGGCUCAAACUGGGAACUGCAUUUGAAACUGUCUGACUAGGGUCUUGUAGAGGGGGGUAGAAUUCCAGGUGUAGCGGUGAAAUGCGUAGAGAUCUGGAGGAAUACCGGUGGCGAAGGCGGCCCCCUGGACAGAGACUGACGCUCAGGUGCGAAAGCGUGGGGAGCAAACAGGAUUAGAUACCCGUAGUC
rnacentral:rRNA from 1 species